UACAGAGGGUGCAAGCGUUAAUCGGAAUUACUGGGCGUAAAGCGCGCGUAGGUGGUUUUGUUAAGUUGGAUGUGAAAUCCCCCGGGCUCAACCUGGGGAACUGCAUUCAAAAACUGACAAGCUAGAGUAUGGUAGAGGGUAGUGGAAUUCCCGGUGUAGCGGUGAAAUGCGUAGAUAUUCGCAAGAACACCAGUGGCGAAGGCGGCCAACUGGACCAAUACUGACGCUGAGGCGCGAAAGCGUGGGGGAGCAAAACAGG
rnacentral:rRNA from 1 species